rnacentral:rRNA from 1 species
UAAGCAUAUCAAUAAGCGGAGGAAAAGAAACCAACAGGGAUUGCCCCAGUAACGGCGAGUGAAGCGGCAAGAGCUCAAAUUUGAAAUCUGACGUUUUUGGCGUCCGAGUUGUAAUUUGAAGAGGAAAUUUCGGUUUGGACUCCGGUCUAUGUUCCUUGGAACAGGACGUCACAGAGGGUGAGAAUCCCGUACGUGGCCGGUUGUCUCUUUCCAUGUGAAAUUCCUUCGAAGAGUCGAGUUGUUUGGGAAUGCAGCUCAAAAUGGGUGGUAAAUUUCAUCUAAAGCUAAAUAUUGGCGGGAGACCGAUAGCGAACAAGUAGAGUGAUCGAAAGAUGAAAAGCACUUUGAAAAGAGAGUCAAACAGUACGUGAAAUUGUUGAAAGGGAAGCGCUUGCAAUCAGACUUGCCUCUGGUUGAUCAACAUCCCUUCUGGGGUGUGCACUCAGCCUCUGGCAGGCCAGCAUCGGUUGACGUGGUGGGACAAAGGUCCCGGGAAUGUGGCUCUCUUCGGGGAGUGUUAUAGCCCGGGGCGUAAUGCCACCAACGACGACCGAGGUCCGCGCUUCGGCUAGGAUGCUGGCGUAAUGAUUGUAAGCGACCCGUCUUGAAACACGGACCAAGGAGUCUAACAUCUAUGCGAGUGUUUGGGUGUUAAACCCAUACGCGAAAUGAAAGUGAACGGAGGUGAGAACCCUUUUGGGCGCAUCAUCGACCGAUCCUGAUGUCUUCGGAUGGAUUUGAGUAGGAGCAUAGCUGUUGGGACCCGAAAGAUGGUGAACUAUGCCUGAAUAGGGUGAAGCCAGAGGAAACUCUGGUGGAAGCUCGCAGCGGUUCUGACGUGCAAAUCGAUCGUCAAAUUUGGGUAUAGGGGCGAAAGACUAAUCGAACCAUCUAGUAGCUGGUUCCUGCCGAA